GAAAAUAUAAGGAUUAUAUUGAUCAUGGACAAAUUUUAAUUACUCAAAAACAAGUGGGUAUUACUAUAAAAAAAAUUAACCUGAAGAAGACUGCACCCUCAGGUUCCCAGUAAUGCAUCAUGUUCAUUGAUUAUUUUAGUAAUAAAUCUGACGGCUAAAAGGUCCUUUCCCAUGGUGGGAGACCUACAUCCCUUUCCCAUGCUAGAC
rnacentral:lncRNA from 1 species